rnacentral:rRNA from 1 species
UAACACAUGCAAGUCGAACGAUGAAGCUGGAGCUUGCUCCGGUGGAUUAGUGGCGAACGGGUGAGUAACACGUGAGAAAUCUGCCCCUGACUCUGGGAUAACUGCGGGAAACUGUAGCUAAUACCGGAUACUUUCCCUGGUGGGCAUCCACUGGGGAAGAAAGAAUUUCGGUCAGGGAGGAUCUCGCGGCCUAUCAUCUAGUUGGUGAGGUAACGGCUCACCAAGGCGACGACGGGUAACCGGCCUGAGAGGGUGACCGGUCACACUGGGACUGAGACACGGCCCAGACUCCUACGGGAGGCAGCAGUGGGGAAUAUUGCACAAUGGGCGCAAGCCUGAUGCAGCAACGCCGCGUGAGGGAUGAAGGCCUUCGGGUUGUAAACCUCUUUUAGCAGGGAAGAAGCGAAAGUGACGGUACCUGCAGAAAAAGCACCGGCUAACUACGUGCCAGCAGCCGCGGUAAUACGUAGGGUGCAAGCGUUGUCCGGAAUUAUUGGGCGUAAAGAGCUCGUAGGCGGUUUGUCACGUCUGCUGUGAAAAUCCAAGGCUCAACCUUGGACUUGCAGUGGGUACGGGCAGGCUA